rnacentral:rRNA from 1 species
CCUGCAGGAAGACUGCCCUAUGGGUUGUAAACUGCUUUUAUAUGGGAAGAAUAAGGCGUACGUGUAGGCUGAUGACGGUACCAUACGAAUAAGCACCGGCUAACUCCGUGCCAGCAGCCGCGGUAAUACGGAGGGUGCAAGCGUUAUCCGGAAUCAUUGGGUUUAAAGGGUCCGUAGGCGGGCAUAUAAGUCAGUGGUGAAAUGCUGUGGCUCAACCAUAGCACUGCCAUUGAUACUGUAUGUCUUGAAUUACUGUGAAGUGGUUAGAAUAUGUAGUGUAGCGGUGAAAUGCUUAGAUAUUACAUAGAAUACCGAUUGCGAAGGCAGAUCACUAACAAUAUAUUGACGCUGAUGGACGAAAGCGUAGGUAGCGAACGGGAUUAGAUACCCCGGUAGUCUACGCCGUAAACGAUGGAUACUAGUUGUUUGGUUUUCGGACUGAGUGACUAAGCGAAAGUGAUAAGUAUCCCACCUGGGGAGUACGUUCGCAAGAAUGAAACUCAAAGGAAUUGACGGA